rnacentral:rRNA from 1 species
UCGGGGAACCAGGACUUUUACUUUGAAAAAAUUAGAGUGUUCAAAGCAGGCCUACGCCUGAAUACAUUAGCAUGGAAUAAUAAAAUAGGACGUGCGGUUCUAUUUUGUUGGUUUCUAGAGUCGCCGUAAUGAUUAAUAGGGAUAGUUGGGGGUAUUCGUAUUCAAUUGUCAGAGGUGAAAUUCUUGGAUUUUUGGAAGACGAACUACUGCGAAAGCAUUUACCAAGGAUGUUUUCAUUAAUCAAGAACGAAAGUUAGGGGAUCGAAGAUGAUUAGAUACCAUCGUAGUC